rnacentral:rRNA from 1 species
GGAGUACGCCGCAACGUGAAACUCAAAGGAAUUGACGGGGCCCGCACAAGCGGAGGACAUGUGUUAUUCGAUGAUACGCGAGGAACCUUACCCGGGCUUGAACUGCAGCAGAAGGAUUGAGAGAUCAUGACGCCCUUCGGGGCUGCUGUGGAGGUGCUGCAUGGUUGUCGUCAGCUCGUGCCGUGAGGUGUCGGCUUAAGUGCCAUAACGAGCGCAACCCCUGCGUGUAGUUGCCAUCAGGUAAUGCUGGGCACUCUGCACGGACUGCCACCGCAAGGUGUGAGGAAGGUGGGGAUGACGUCAAAUCAGCACGGCCCUUACGUCCGGGGCUACACACGUGUUACAAUGGGUGGUACAGAGAGCAGGCCGCACGCAAGUUCGGUCGAAUCACGAAAGCCAUCCUCAGUUCGGAUUGGGGUCUGCAACCCGACCCCAUGAAGCUGGAUUCGCUAGUAAUCGCGCAUCAGCCAUGGCGCGGUGAAUACGUUCCCGGGCCUUGUACACACCGCCCGUCAAGCCAUGAAAGCCUGGGGCGCCUGAAGUCCGUGACCGCGAGGGUCGGCCUAGGGUGAAACAGGUGAUUGGGGCU